CCUCCUGUCCUCGCGCUUUCUCUUCCAGCAGUCAUCUGCACGCGCUAUGGAAUACGCUCCCAUUUGGGGUGGGAUUAGGAACACACACACGCCAACAAUGGCUCAUAAAGCUGUAAUUACAACAAUAUGGAGAAACAACGGAUGAUCCCAAUUCAGAUGGACCCUACAAUCAUUUCACAACUGACUUGUCGACCUGUCCUCAUAUCUUCACAUCUGGUGGAAUGACUUGAAAACGCAGGUUGAUCAGCUACACAGGGACAGAGAUGGAGCGUGGUGUGAUGGGGAGAACCAAACGCCAGCCGCAUGAAGCUGAUACAACAUGAGGACAAGCGUGGCUGCAGGGGACCGACACUCCACAGAGGAUAGGGGAGAGGAGAGGAGAGGAGAGAGGAGAGAGACGCCUUCUGGUCCCAUUUACAGAGCACACUGAUGGCUGCAUGUGGAGAAAACAUGGUCAUGUGACCAUAAUCAUCCCAGCUUGGCGUCUCUAACACAACACACAAGGACGUUUAACGUGACGAACACCAGGCUUUAUGUCAAGUCUUCAAAAUGUCUUCAAUGAAGUGACGGGAUUCUUAAAAAAAAAAAUGCUUUCUGGUUGUACAAAUCUGUGAAGGCAUUUUUUUUCCUCUGAAAAAUCUGUUAAAUCUG